rnacentral:rRNA from 1 species
GACGAACGCUGGCGGCGUGCCUAAUACAUGCAAGUAGAACGCACAGUUUAUACCGUAGCUUGCUACACCAUACACUGUGAGUUGCGAACGGGUGAGUAACGCGUAGGUAACCUGCCUGGUAGCGGGGGAUAACUAUUGGAAACGAUAGCUAAUACCGCAUAAUAUUGAUUAUUGCAUGAUAAUUGAUUGAAAGAUGCUAUUGCAUCACUACCAGAUGGACCUGCGUUGUAUUAGCUAGUAGGUGAGGUAACGGCUCACCUAGGCGACGAUACAUAGCCGACCUGAAAGGGUGAGCGGCCAAGCUGGGACGGAGACACGGCCCAGACUCCUGCGGGAGGCAGCAGUAGGGAAUCUUCGGCAAUGGACGAAAGUCUGACCGAGCAACGCCGCGUGAGUGAAGAAGGUUUUCGGAUCGUAAAGCUCUGUUGUAAGAGAAGAACGGGUGUGAGAGUGGAAAGUUCACACUGUGACGGUAUCUUACCAGAAAGGGACGGCUAACUACGUG